rnacentral:rRNA from 1 species
GCGUGCCUAACACAUGCAAGUCGAGCGAUCUCUUCGGAGAGAGCGGCGGACGGGUGAGUAACGCGUGGGUAACCUGCCCUGUACACACGGAUAACAUACCGAAAGGUAUACUAAUACGGGAUAACAUACGAAAGUCGCAUGGCUUUUGUAUCAAAGCUCCGGCGGUACAGGAUGGACCCGCGUCUGAUUAGCUAGUUGGUAAGGUAAUGGCUUACCAAGGCAACGAUCAGUAGCCGACCUGAGAGGGUGAUCGGCCACACUGGAACUGAGACACGGUCCAGACUCCUACGGGAGGCAGCAGUGGGGAAUAUUGCACAAUGGGCGAAAGCCUGAUGCAGCAACGCCGCGUGAGCGAUGAAGGCCUUCGGGUCGUAAAGCUCUGUCCUCAAGGAAGAUAAUGACGGUACUUGAGGAGGAAGCCCCGGCUAACUACGUGCCAGCAGCCGCGGUAAUACGUAGGGGGCUAGCGUUAUCCGGAAUUACUGGGCGUAAAGGGUGCGUAGGUGGUUUUUUAAGUCAGAAGUGAAAGGCUACGGCUCAACCGUAGUAAGCUUUUGAAACUAGAGAACUUGAGUGCAGGAGAGGAGAGUAGAAUUCCUAGUGUAGCGGUGAAAUGCGUAGAUAUUAGGAGGAAUACCAGUAGCGAAGGCGGCUCUCUGGACUGUAACUGACACUGAGGCACGAAAGCGUGGGGAGCAAACAGGAUUAGAUACCCUGGUAGUCCACGCCGUAACGAUGAGUACUAGGUGUCGGGGGGUUACCCCCC